rnacentral:rRNA from 1 species
AACAAACGCUGGCGGCGUGCCUAAUACAUGCAAGUCGAACGGGGAAAGCUUUCGGGUGAGUACUAGUGGCGCAUGGGUGAGUAACGCGUGGAUAAUCUGCCUUAGAGUGGGGGAUAACUAGUCGAAAGAUUAGCUAAUACCGCAUAAGACCACAGGAACCGAGGUUCUAGAGGUCAAAGGUUUUUCGCUCUAAGAUGAGUCCGCGUAAGAUUAGCUAGUUGGUGAGGUAACGGCUCACCAAGGCAACGAUCUUUAACUGGUCUGAGAGGAUGAUCAGUCACACUGGAACUGAGACACGGUCCAGACUCCUACGGGAGGCAGCAGUAGGGAAUAUUGCACAAUGGAGGAAACUCUGAUGCAGCGACGCCGCGUGAGUGAUGAAGGCCUUCGGGUUGUAAAGCUCUGUCGCAGGGGAAUAACACAAUGAAUGUACCCUGUAAGAAAGGAUCGGCUAACUUCGUGCCAGCAGCCGCCGUAAGAC